GAGUGCGUGAGAGAGAGCUUAAGAUUAUGAGAGAUUUUUCUUAAGAGAUUAUUAAGAGAGUUAUUCUUAUUAUUGAGUCUUUAUUCUUGUGUUUGUGAGACCUUGAUUACGAGAGACUUGAUUUCUAUAAAGCACGCUUCCACCGUGAGUGCUCCUACAAGCAUGGGCUCGUUAUCAAAACAUCACUCUCGUGUUUUCAGGUCCUGUCUUCUAGCAAACCAGACCUUUGUUCAUGCUUCAACUUUGAGACAAAAUGAGCAGUUUCUUAAUCUUGGCCGUGCAUUAAUGAGGGUGCAAAGACCACCUUUCACAAUUACCCAUACCUCCUCGGUUCGUUGGUGGAGCCAUGAAUCUAACGGUUUUGUUUCGAGAUGCUUGUCGCGGAUUUUGAAAGGCCCAUGUUGUUUUUAAGGCCUAGGAUUUUUGGUCUUGGAGAGCGGGC
rnacentral:lncRNA from 1 species